rnacentral:rRNA from 1 species
UACGAAGGGGGCUAGCGUUGCUCGGAAUCACUGGGCGUAAAGCGCACGUAGGCGGAUUGCUAAGUCAGGGGUGAAAUCCUGGAGCUCAACUCCAGAACUGCCUUUGAUACUGGCGAUCUUGAGUCCGGGAGAGGUGAGUGGAACUCCGAGUGUAGAGGUGAAAUUCGUAGAUAUUCGGGAGAACACCAGUGGCGAAGGCGGCUCACUGGCCCGGUACUGACGCUGAGGUGCGAAAGCGUGGGGAGCAAACAGG